rnacentral:lncRNA from 1 species
ACGCAGAGAAUACUUUGCCGCAGACUGCGCAACUGCGCCCUGCACUUUCUCCUUUAUUCCUUUUGGUGUUCACAACAGAAUGCGAUCCGCUUUCCCCGCCACGCCCGCCCACGCUGCGUCGUGCCCGCCUUUGGCGCGGGAACGUUUCAUGCGUGGCGUGGCGAGAAUGCCGCUGGGCCGCACCGUGAACGCAGCACGGCUCUGGCCUUACACCAAGCGUUCGUGACUCAUGCAACUACCUGGACUUAGAAUAAAAACAUGACUAUGCAGCUAUGCCUAAUUGCAGUAUGAAACAUGGCAUGCACGUGAUUAGAAACAACAUUUCACCCCCUUAAUCACGCUGCACUUCAAUCACACCAAGUUGCUGUCGUAGCUCCACGAACCUGACACGCCCAAGUGCCUUUGUUAAGAUGUCUGCCAGCUGAUCUGCUGUGCUCACAUGAUCAAUGUCGACAUCCCCUCUUUCAACACAAUCACGAAUGAAAUGGUAUCUUGUGUCUAUAUGUUUGCUUCUAUCAUGGUGAACUGGAUUCUUACUCAAUGCAAUUGCUGAUUUGUUAUCCACCAGAAGUUUCACCUGCGGCGUUGGAAUGCCUAGCAGCCCACCCAGAAGUCUGCUGAGCCAAAUGCCUUGACAAGCAGCGUUGGCACUUGCAAUAUACUCAGCCUCACAUGACGAUAGAGCUACCACCCUUUGCUUCUGAGAUCCCCAAGUCACCAAACUUGUUCCUAACAGAAACACUGAACCACUUGUGCUCUUUCGGUCAUCAACAUCCCCAGCUAAAUCACUGUCACUAUAGCCAGUCAGACUUGUUUCAGAUGUGUUCAGCUUCCUGUAGAUGCAGCCAUAGUUCACAGUACCUGACAGAUACCUGAGAAUCUGUUUCACAGCUGCCCAGUGACUUGCCUUCGGAUCCUCCAUGUACCUGCUAACUAUCCCAACUGAGUAGGCAAUGUCUGGUCUAGUGUUGACCAGAUAUCUCAGACUUCCAAUUACACUUCUAUACUUUGUCUUGUCGACUGAAGGUGUCUUGUCAUUUUUGCUCAGCUUCAACCGAUUUUCCAUGGGCACAUGACAGGGAUUACACCCUUUCAUACCUGUCUGCUCUAGGAUUUUCAGUGUAUACGAACUCUGACAUAGUGAGAUCACCCCCUCCUUUUGUGUUACUUGGAUGCCUAGAUAGUAAGUCAGCAGCCCCAGGUCACUCAUACUAAAACUCUUCAUCAUCUCCUUCUUGAAUGCCUCAAUGUUUGCACUGCUUGGUCCUGUUAUGAUCAGAUCAUCAACAUAAACACCCACCAAGAGAAAACCAUCAGUAUGCUUCCUCCUGUAAACAGCAUGUUCAAGAGGAUUUUUCUCAAAACCAAGCUUGAUCAACUCACUGUCUAAUUUAGCAUUCCAAGCCCUAGGAGCCUGACGCAAGCCAUACAAUGCUUUAUUCAGUCUGAGCACCUUGCCACUGCCUCCCUCGACAACAAAUCCAGGAGGUUGCUGUACAUAUACCUCCUCCAUCAGUUCACCAUUCAAGAAUGCCGACUUCACAUCCAUGUGAUGUACAUUCCAUCCUCUCUGAGCAGCAAGAGCAAUUAAUAAUCUCACUGUUUCUAUCCUUGCCACAGGGGCAAACACUUCUUCAAAAUCCACCCUUCUCUCUGUGCAUACCCUUUCGCAACCAACCUUGCUUUGUGCUUAAUAAUGUUACCAUCUGGAUCUUUCUUCACCUUGAAAACCCAUUUAAGCCCUAUAGCUUUGUGGCCUGCAGGUAGCACUGACAGCACCCAAGUCUUGUUUGACUGAAUGGAGUUCAUUUCAGUCAUCAUGGCUUCCCUCCAGCACUGUUCUGACAGGGCUACCUCCACACUUCUUGGCUCCUCUGCUGCAUGGAAACACACACCACUAUACUCGAAAUCAUGAAUUUCUUCAGUUGUAUCAUAUAAAUCAGAUAGAUUUCUGUAACCUGUUGGAACCCCUUCAGUGUUACUAGACCAUUCUAACUGUGGUGUUUCUGAAAAUUCUCCAUGUGCAGGACUCCCUACAGGCGUGUGUGGAGUUGAUCCUCCAUGUGAACUAGUGCCAGCACUCCACUCACCUUGAGCUGGUGAAUUCUGAACUGAAUCACCAGAAAAUUCUGCGUCCUCUCCUUCAGUUACUGCUGCUUCAGUUACAGUUCUCUGUCUGGCAGCAGAAUAGAACUCCACAUCGAACACUGAACUGACUGGUUCAUUACCAGCCUCUUGCUUCCAGUCCCAAGCCUGUCCUUCCUCAAAGAUUACAUCUCGGGAUAUGUGAAGUUUCUUAGCUACAGGAUCAUAGACUCUAUAACCCUUUGUGCCACUUUCAUAACCAAUAAACACCAUUUUGGUGGACCUGUCAGAGAGCUUAGAAAUCCCUGGCCCAACUUUCUUCACAUAAACAACACAACCAAAUGUGCGUAAGUGAUGUACCUUGGGCUUCUUAUUGUACCAGGCUUCAUAUGGUGUACGGUCUUGCAAGCUCUUUGUUGGAGAACGGUUCAACAGAUAAACUGCAGUUGACACCGCUUCUCCCCAAAAUUCAGCUGGCAUGCCCUUGCUCUUCAGCAAACAUCUUGCCAUCUCUGCCACCGUACGGUUCCGGCGCUCGACGACGCCAUUCUGUUGGGGUGUGUACGGUGCUGUAGUGAAAUGCUUGAUGCCGUGUUCGUCGCAGUACUCCUUGAACUCGAUGGAAUUAAAUUCCCCGCCACGAUCGCUACGGAACGCGCGAAGCUUCAAAGCACGCUCAGUUUCAGCUAAUGCCUUCACCCGCUUGAAACACUUGAACGCCUCAUCCUUUGUUGUCAGGAGUUCAACCCACAUGAAACGACUGAAAUCGUCAACAAUUAACAGGAAAUAGCCCUUACCACCUGGUGUCUUUGGUCUGAUCUGGCCACAGAGAUCUGCGUGAACCAGGUCAAGUCCUUUCUUGGCUCGAUAAUUCGCCACCUGAGGGAAUGAGUGUCGCUGAUGCUUGCCCAAUGCACAGCCAUCACACACUUCUUCUGCACGAUUUAACAGUGGUAUCCCAUCCACCAUUCCCUUUUGUCCGAGCUCUCUGAGUGCUCUGAAAUUGAGAUGGCCAUACCGGCCAUGCCAGAGCCAGGCUUGAUCAUCUGCCUUCGCCUUCAGACAGACUGGAGCAGUCAGGUGCGUCUUCAGCAGAUAGAGACGAUUUGACACUCGCGGUGCGCGCGCCAAGAGCAAGCGCUCAACGUCGUACACAUUGCAGUAUCCGUUCUCCAAUAUUACCUUGCAUCCUCCCUCUUCCAAUUGACCUAGGCUCACAAUAUUACUUUUUAGCUUGGGAAUGUAAUAUACCUCUGUUAGCACCUUGUGACCCUCCUUCGUCUGGAGCACCACCGAUCCGAUGCCCUCGAUCUCUACGAGCGAGCCGUCGCCAAAACGCACUGUGCCACGCACAAACUUGUCUAGCGAUGCGAGUGCCUCGUGCCUCCCUGUCAUGUGGUUGCUAGCCCCCGUAUCGAGGACCCAAACAUUCUUGUCUUCAUCAUUGUGCGCCGGGAACACCUUCUUCUCGUUGAGGUGCACAACUUGCUGUGUCGUGCGCACACCUGAUGGCUUGAGGUCGAACGGCGCCCUGUGAACACGCACCGUGGCCACCGUCGCCAGAAGCAGGAAGGGAUUUCCUGCUCUGUCUGCGCGACAAUUGCCUCCUCCUUGCGUUCCUUCUUGGGUGGCCGCUUGCAGUCUACACGCCAGUGGCCGUAGAUGCCACAGUUCCUGCAACGGCCUUUCCGCCGCGGAGUACCCUCCGUCGUCAGCUUCACGGGGCUGCCCUUCUUGUCACCACGGCCGCCGGUCUUUGACUUGCCGGGAUUGUACCCCGACUUCUUCUCCCCACCGCUCGACGACGACGAAUCUGGCAGGAGACGAUGUCGAUUUCUUGACACCCAGUCCUCCUCCGUCAACAAUAGUCGCCGCGUCUUGUCAGUGACAGUUUCGGCCUCGAUCCGGUCCUCAGCCAUCCUGAGACGGCCGACCAGCUCCUCGACCGUCAGGGUCUUCAGAUCGAGUAGGGUUUCGAUCGAGAUCGCGAUCUGGGCGUAGCGUUGGGGUAGCACACGCAACAUCUUCUUCACGACCCGAGUGUCUUCAAUCUCCUCCCCGGACGUGCGUAGAUCCGCCGCCAGUGCAUUGAUGCGCAUCGCGAAAUCGUCCACCGAUUCGCCGUCACUGAAAGCGAUGUUCUCAAACUCCUUCAAUAGGCGUUGUGCAUUCGCCUCCUUCACGCGCUCUGCUCCCACACGCAUGCUCUUCACCGCCGACCAUGCUUCCUUCACUGUCCUCUUGGACCCAAGCAUUUGCCACAUCUCCUUCGGUACAGACCGCAGCAGACAGCCCAUGGCCAAUCUGUCCUGCGAUCUCCUGACGCCGUCACCUCCAGGCUCGAUCACCUCCCACACCUCCAUAGCUUCAUAGUUACACUGCAUGAGCAUCGCCCACUCCGAGUAAUUUGAGCGGGUGAGCAUCGGCCACAUCAGUGAACUCUCGCGAACACCGCUCGCCGACGAACUGCGCUCAUUUCCGCUGCCGGAUGUCUCCACUCUUCGGGGCUCACGCAGUGGACUCACGGAACCACUACAGAGGAUACGACGAGGCUUUGAUACCAGUUGUUGGCGCCGGCCACCGGAGUUUGGAGCUGGACGGCGAUCAGCGGCGGCUCUGUUUUUUCACCUGAUGAAAAAACCACUCAACAGAACAGAGGCUGGUGAGUACGCAGAGAAUACUUUGCCGCAGACUGCGCAACUGCGCCCUGCACUUUCUCCUUUAUUCCUUUUGGUGUUCACAACAGAAUGCGAUCCGCUUUCCCCGCCACGCCCGCCCACGCUGCGUCGUGCCCGCCUUUGGCGCGGGAACGUUUCAUGCGUGGCGUGGCGAGAAUGCCGCUGGGCCGCACCGUGAACGCAGCACGGCUCUGGCCUUACACCAAGCGUUCGUGACUCAUGCAACUACCUGGACUUAGAAUAAAAACAUGACUAUGCAGCUAUGCCUAAUUGCAGUAUGAAACAUGGCAUGCUCGUGAUUAGAAACAACAUUUCACCCCCUUAAUCACGCUGCACUUCAAUCACACCAAGUUGCUGUCGCAGCUCCACGAACCUGACACGCCCAAGUGCCUUUGUUAAGAUGUCUGCCAGCUGAUCUGCUGUGCUCACAUGAUCA